GAGAACUGAAAGUCGGGUAUACCCAUGACAGCCGUUCCCAGGGCACAUUUCAGUUCUGUGGGCUGCAGGCUCACACACCCCGAAGGUAGUGGUAAUUACUUCGUAGUUCAUUAGGUUUUCCUUGUGUAGGGUGUUGAAGGAACGAGGGAAUAAGGUAGCUGACUUUGAAAUGAGAUGGGGGAUGGAAAUUCCAGGUGAAUUUAAAGCACCUGGCAAGCAGGCAUCUCUUCUCAGUGUUUCCUUGUUUUUGCCCCAGACUGGGAAGCCAUCACCUUCCUGGCUCUUUCAGAGAAUUUCUGUGUGGUCUUGGUCUGACUCAAUUAACCUCUCCCCUUCUGCAUUUCAUCAUGUGGAUAUGGGUAUAGGAUCAACUUCAAAGAGGUCCAGGGCCUAAUUAAUGUCUCUAGGGUGCCUGAAGAUUCUUGGAUGGAAAAAAAGAAAACCACCACCUGUAUGCAGAAUCGGAGACUGCAUGACAGCAGGUGGAAAUUAUUACUAUUAAAUGUGACUCCGUCUCAGAAUAUUUGGCAAACUCCUCCUCUGGGCCCUGAGAAAUGUCGAGUUGGUGAGAAUAUGCUUCCUUUAUGACCAAGAGUUCCUCUCUCUCUCUCUCUAUAGGCUAGCAAGUCCAAAUCUUCAGGGUGGCCCAGCAGGCUGGAGACCCAGGACAGCCAACGUUCCAGUUUGAGUCCAAAGGCCGUCUGCUGGAGAACCAAGAAGAGCUGAUGUCACAGAUGAAGUCCUAGGCCAUCUGCUGAAGAAUUGCCUCUUGCCUGGAGGAGAGGGGGAAACUGAGGCACCCAGAAGCAAAGCACCUGGCCCAAGGCCACAGAAAGGAUACGCUCUCCGAAUCACGGGCCUUCUCUGACUUUUAAUUGUAUGCUGGAAAGGUCUCACGCCUGGGGAAAAAGAAGUUUCUAGAAGGAACCACACCUCCAGAAAAGGGAUUGAGGGAGGAAAGCCAGGCCUCUGCUUUCCAUAGCACCUUGCUACAAAUAAUCAGAAUUUUACUUUUCUGUAGUAUUUUCCUUCCUCAUUAAACUUUUUAAAAGCAUGCUGACUUGGGGGAAAUACUGAAGCAUUUUAAUGAUGUAUGAAAUAAAAAAAAUAAUAAAACCUUCUGCCCACCCAGAGAGAAUACAAGUCUGGGAUCGGACUCGGGCUUUCCUUUUUCGCUCUCGCUUGCAGCCGCUCCAUUUCGGUGCCAUGUAGCUCAGCUGCAGCCCGCAACGUUUUUUUAAAGGAAAGAAAAUGAACGUCGAAACUUAGCAGGCUCAGCCAAAAGAGUGGAACCCGGUCUUCACUGCCCUUUUGCAAAUCCCCUUCUCACUUCCAUUUCCCUGAACUUUUCUCAGAGCUCUCAGCCCCACCGCAACAGCUCAGCUGGCUUUUUCUUGUAUUUUGUCUAAUUUUCUCUCGUCUUCCCUUGGGUUUCCGAAUCUUUGCUUGAGCAGGAAAGGUGACUGGUUGGGUAUGAGUGUUGGCACUUUCUAAGUCUCCCUCUCUCCCAUACAGUUCCCGUGCUCGUUAAUUCAAGGACUGAGACACACUGAGAAGACCCAAGUGUUAUCAUGCGACAGAGGUGCACUGGUUCCUUUCGAGCCCAUCAUAAAGGCCUUCGUGGGCUCCUGGGGGCCUCUUUCUGCCCUGUCCUUCCAGGGGAGAGCGGGACGCUUCACCAGUGCCUUUUCUCUUCUUUCAGUGGCACACUGAUGACUGAUGGGGGGCGACUGGGGGGCUGCAGGUGAAAAGGAGUGGAGCGGCUCCCCGCGCCCCACCCCUGCGUGGUGGGAGACCCCCCUGCCCCUGCCCCAGAUCCUGCCUUGAUGCCACACUCCCAGCGUCACCUGGUCUUGCUGUGAAACCACAUCAGCACCACGUGUAGGUCUGUCCGCCAGUGUUUUGCUCUUCUCUGUGGGUUCAUGUGAAAUUUGUCUCAAGGAGCUUUUAAAUCCCUCACAUGGUUUAAAAGACAUAUAUAAACAUUUUUGAAAACAGACAAAGUUAAACUUUAGUUUAGUGAUUAGGGACACCCAUUUGGAUGAUAAAAACUGUAAAGAAAAGCUCAGAAAUGAUUACCAUACAAGCCAGAAUAAUGGUUACUUUUUAGGAUGUGGAAGGGGCUGUGGAAGGAGCUUGAGGAGGGCGUCCAGGGUGACCUGCAAAGUUCUCUUUUUUAACCCAGGUGUAGUUACAAGAGUGUUCACAUUUUAAAUCAUUUAUCACGAAGUUAUACAUUUUUAAGCAGUGUCCUAUACCUCUUCUAUAAGUUACAAUUUUUUUUAAGUUUAAAAAAGAAUGUAGGAUUAUAUGGACCUCCUUAACUAUGUGUGGGGUUAUGGUAGUGCCCCAUGAAAAUUGACGGGGUUUUUUUCCUUUGGUUUUAAUAAAAUUAUUUCUAUUUCCUCUACUUAA
rnacentral:lncRNA from 1 species